CCUCGGGGGGCAGCAGUGGGGAAUAUUGGACAAUGGGCGAAAGCCUGAUCCAGCCAUGCCGCGUGUGUGAAGAAGGCCUUCGGGUUGUAAAGCACUUUCAGUGGGGAAGAAAGCCUUGGGGCUAAUACCCUCGAGGAAGGACAUCACCCACAGAAGAAGCACCGGCUAACUCCGUGCCAGCAGCCGCGGUAAUACGGAGGGUGCGAGCGUUAAUCGGAAUUACUGGGCGUAAAGCGCGCGUAGGCGGUCUGAUAAGCCGGUUGUGAAAGCCCCGGGCUCAACCUGGGAACGGCAUCCGGAACUGUCAGGCUAGAGUGCAGGAGAGGAAGGUAGAAUUCCCGGUGUAGCAGUGAAAUGCGUAGAGAUCGGGAGGAAUACCAGUGGCGAAGGCGGCCUUCUGGACUGACACUGACGCUGAGGUGCGAAAGCGUGGGUAGCAAACAGGAUUAGAUACCCGAGUAGUC
rnacentral:rRNA from 1 species